CGGACCCCGAGAUCGUGAGUUGUGGGUGCAGCGACUGAAGGAGGAAUAUCAGUCCCUUAUCCGGUAUGUGGAGAACAACAAGAAUGCUGACAACGAUUGGUUCCGACUGGAGUCCAACAAGGAAGGGACUCGGUGGUUUGGAAAAUGCUGGUAUAUCCAUGACCUCCUGAAAUAUGAGUUUGACAUCGAGUUUGACGUGAGUGUGAUAGAGUGGGAAAUAUGAAGGUUAGUAGAAGGGGAGGGAUUAGAUGAUGGGUAACAAGCUAUCCUUUCUUGAAGGGACCAAAGAAAACUUUAAAAAUGGGAGAGAAAAGCUGAGGUUUGAGGCAAGCAUAAGUU
rnacentral:sRNA from 1 species